UUGACUUAUAGAGAUAGAUAAUUGAAGGCAUAUUUGAGAAGUUUAUAGAAGUUUCUAGAAUUAGAGUUAGGUUAGUGGACUAUAUAGGAUCUAUCAUAGAAUAUUCUAAAAAAAUCUUAGGAUGAUUAUUUAGGUAGGGCCUAUUAUAGAAUAUUCUAAAAAAGAUUAAGGAUAAUUAUUUAAAUAGAAUUUAUUAUUAAAAAUUCCAAGAUGGUUGA
rnacentral:lncRNA from 1 species